rnacentral:rRNA from 1 species
UACGAAGGGGGCUAGCGUUGCUCGGAAUCACUGGGCGUAAAGGGUGCGUAGGUGGGUCUUUAAGUCAGAGGUGAAAUCCUGGAGCUCAACUCCAGAACUGCCUUUGAUACUGAGGAUCUUGAGUAUGGGAGAGGUGAGUGGAACUGCGAGUGUAGAGGUGAAAUUCGUAGAUAUUCGCAAGAACACCAGUGGCGAAGGCGGCUCACUGGCCCAUUACUGACGCUGAGGCACGAAAGCGUGGGGAGCAAACAGG